GGGCGUGUGGUCUAGUGGUAUGACGUCUGCUUCGCAUCAAUCUGCGACUGAAUCAGCUUCACUGCUCGAAUCAGCAGAAGGUCCCGGGUUCAAAUCCCGUCUCGUCCA
rnacentral:tRNA from 1 species